GCCUAGCCCUAAACCUUGGUAAUAUAUCACACACCCUACCCGCCUGGGAACUACGAGCACCAGCUUAAAACCCAAAGGACUUGGCGGUGCUUUAGACCCCCCUAGAGGAGCCUGUUCUAGAACCGAUAACCCCCGUUCAACCUCACCCUUCCUUGUUUAUCCCGCCUAUAUACCGCCGUCGUCAGCUUACCCUGUGAAGGCCUAAAAGUAAGCACAACUGGCACAACCCAAAACGUCAGGUCGAGGUGUAGCGCAUGGAGGGGGAAGAAAUGGGCUACAUUCCCUAUAUUAGGGAACACGAACGGCGCACUGAAACACGCGCCUGAAGGAGGAUUUAGUAGUAAGCGGAAAAUAGCGUGUUCCGCUGAAAUCGGCCCUGAAGCGCGC
rnacentral:rRNA from 4 species